rnacentral:rRNA from 1 species
GAUGAACGCUGGCGGCGUGCCUAAUACAUGCAAGUCGAGCGAACAGACGAGGAGCUUGCUCCUCUGACGUUAGCGGCGGACGGGUGAGUAACACGUGGAUAACCUACCUAUCAGACUGGGAUAACUUCGGGAAACCGGAGCUAAUACCGGAUAAUAUAUUGAACCGCAUGGUUCAAUAGUGAAAGACGGUUUUGCUGUCACUUAUAGAUGGAUCCGCGCCGAAUUAGCUAGUUGGUAAGGUAACGGCUCACCAAGGCGACGAUGCGUAGCCGACCUGAGAGGGUGAUCGGCCACACUGGAACUGGGACACGGUCCAGACUCCUACGGGAGGCAGCAGUAGGGAAUCUUCCUCAAUGGGCGAAAUCCUGACGGAGCAACGCCGCGUGAGUGAUGAAGGUGUUCGGAUCGUAAAACGCUGUUAUUAGGGAAGAACAAAUAUGUAAGUAACUAUGCACGUCUUGACGGUACCUAAUCAGAAAGCCACGGCUAACUACGUG